AGAGUUUGAUCCUGGCUCAGAUUGAACGCUGGCGGCAGGCCUAACACAUGCAAGUCGAGCGGUAGCACAGAGAGCUUGCUCUCGGGUGACGAGCGGCGGACGGGUGAGUAAUGUCUGGGAAACUGCCUGAUGGAGGGGGAUAACUACUGGAAACGGUAGCUAAUACCGCAUAAUGUCGCAAGACCAAAGUGGGGGACCUUCGGGCCUCAUGCCAUCAGAUGUGCCCAGAUGGGAUUAGCUAGUAGGUGGGGUAACGGCUCACCUAGGCGACGAUCCCUAGCUGGUCUGAGAGGAUGACCAGCCACACUGGAACUGAGACACGGUCCAGACUCCUACGGGAGGCAGCAGUGGGGAAUAUUGCACAAUGGGCGCAAGCCUGAUGCAGCCAUGCCGCGUGUGUGAAGAAGGCCUUCGGGUUGUAAAGCACUUUCAGCGGGGAGGAAGGCGGUGAGGUUAAUAGCCUCAUCGAUUGACGUUACCCGCAGAAGAAGCACCGGCUAACUCCGUGCCAGCAGCCGCGGUAAUACGGAGGGUGCAAGCGUUAAUCGGAAUUACUGGGCGUAAAGCGCACGCAGGCGGUCUGUCAAGUCGGAUGUGAAAUCCCCGGGCUCAACCUGGGAACUGCAUUCGAAACUGGCAGGCUAGAGUCUUGUAGAGGGGGGUAGAAUUCCAGGUGUAGCGGUGAAAUGCGUAGAGAUCUGGAGGAAUACCGGUGGCGAAGGCGGCCCCCUGGACAAAGACUGACGCUCAGGUGCGAAAGCGUGGGGAGCAAACAGGAUUAGAUACCCUGGUAGUCCACGCCGUAAACGAUGUCGAUUUGGAGGUUGUGCCCUUGAGGCGUGGCUUCCGGAGCUAACGCGUUAAAUCGACCGCCUGGGGAGUACGGCCGCAAGGUUAAAACUCAAAUGAAUUGACGGGGGCCCGCACAAGCGGUGGAGCAUGUGGUUUAAUUCGAUGCAACGCGAAGAACCUUACCUGGUCUUGACAUCCACAGAACUUUCCAGAGAUGGAUUGGUGCCUUCGGGAACUGUGAGACAGGUGCUGCAUGGCUGUCGUCAGCUCGUGUUGUGAAAUGUUGGGUUAAGUCCCGCAACGAGCGCAACCCUUAUCCUUUGUUGCCAGCGGUUAGGCCGGGAACUCAAAGGAGACUGCCAGUGAUAAACUGGAGGAAGGUGGGGAUGACGUCAAGUCAUCAUGGCCCUUACGACCAGGGCUACACACGUGCUACAAUGGCAUAUACAAAGAGAAGCGACCUCGCGAGAGCAAGCGGACCUCAUAAAGUAUGUCGUAGUCCGGAUUGGAGUCUGCAACUCGACUCCAUGAAGUCGGAAUCGCUAGUAAUCGUAGAUCAGAAUGCUACGGUGAAUACGUUCCCGGGCCUUGUACACACCGCCCGUCACACCAUGGGAGUGGGUUGCAAAAGAAGUAGGUAGCUUAACCUUCGGGAGGGCGCUUACCACUUUGUGAUUCAUGACUGGGGUGAAGUCGUAACAAGGUAGCCGU
rnacentral:rRNA from 1 species